AUACAGAGGGUGCAAGCGUUAAUCGGAUUUACUGGGCGUAAAGCGCGCGUAGGUGGCUAAUUAAGUCAAAUGUGAAAUCCCCGAGCUUAACUUGGGAAUUGCAUUCGAUACUGGUUAGCUAGAGUAUGGGAGAGGAUGGUAGAAUUCCAGGUGUAGCGGUGAAAUGCGUAGAGAUCUGGAGGAAUACCGAUGGCGAAGGCAGCCAUCUGGCCUAAUACUGACACUGAGGUGCGAAAGCAUGGGGAGCAAACAGGAUUAGAUACCCUGGUAGUCCAUGCCGUAAACGAUGUCUACUAGCCGUUGGGGCCCUUGAGGCUUUAGUGGCGCAGCUAACGCGAUAAGUAGACCGCCUGGGGAGUACGACCGCAAGGUUGAAACUCAAAUGAAUUGACGGGG
rnacentral:rRNA from 1 species